GAUACCCUAUUAUACUAAAAGAUAAAAUUUAAACCGGAUUAAUAAUAGUUAUGUUCUUUAAAUUUGAAGAAUUUGGCGGUAAUUUAGUCUUGUCAGAGGAACCUGUUUUUUAAGCGAUAAUCCACGUAAAAUUUUACUUAUCAUUGUUUUCAGUUUGUAUACCGUCAUUAGCAGAUAAUUUUUAAAGAAAAAAUUAUUACAUUUAAUAAUUUAAUAAAAUUAGAUCAAGGUGCAGCUUAUAGGUAAGUUAAAAUGGGUUACAAUAUAAUUUAUAUAUGAUGGAUAAAAAAAAGAACUUUUUUUUUAAAGGAGGAUUUGAUUGUAAUAUAAGUUUAAUAUGCUUAGAUGAUAUUAGCUCUAAAUUAUGUACAU
rnacentral:rRNA from 2 species